AGUGGCUAUUAAUAGGGAGGCGAGGAAAGCUGACUAAGGAGGGAGCGGACUUAGACUGGAGGGAAGAGCCUGGCCACCUUGGCCCACAGUCCUCGGACACAGGGUCGACGUCUUGGAGGCGAAGGCAUUCUGGCGCAGCGAAGAAACAAUACAGGUUGUCCUUGGGCCCAGCGGCUGAUCCUUGACCACCUGGUACACAUUGAUCAGAGAAUUUCUCAAAUAUCUACCACAUACUCAGAACUGGGCCUUUAGGCACAUGGUUCAGGUUUCAGAUUCUUCCUGGAGAUGACGUGUAGGAUAAGAAAAGGAUUGAGGAACAGCUCCAGCCUUGACGUUGGGCAAAUUGGGAACGCUGUACGAGACUUCCUGUCUAAUACUUCCCUAGAUUUCCUGGAAUCCAAUUUGAAAAGCUGUUUCCCCUACAUCACCAAGGAGUUAAACCUUGGCUCUGCUCUCUGGUGACUAAUAGGCACCGUGUGGCUCUGAGCUCAGCGAGAAAGAAACUGACAGUCGGCGUGGGAAGCGUGUGAGAUUUCAGGGCUCUUGCGACGCCUUAGAUGGGCCUGGUGCGCAGGAGCAAGGAGGAUUGCCAUCGAGUGCCCUCAACUAUGUCCUUUUAUCAUGAAUUCUUGGGUUCUUCCUCUGAACUUUGCAUGAUUUUUAAUGAAGAUCUCCAGCUCCUUUGGGGGCCUUAUGUUACGGUGGUGUGUGAGUUAAUUCCAUGGAGAAGGAUAUUUUAAACAGCAAACAAAUUUCACCACUUUGAAAAAGAAUCCAUUUUGAUUGAAAACAGAGCGGAAACAACUGACCUGAUCAAAUCACACUUGAUGUGUGUUGGGGGUGGGGGGAUAUCUUCUUUCUACUCUUGCUGUUUGCUUCCUGGUGAAAGAAGCCUAAUUAACACUCACUCCCUUUUGCUUACCUGGAAAGGGAGAGUGGUUUAAUAGGACUGUUGCAUUUCCCAGGAAAGUCUGUGCCUCUCUUUCUUUCCUCUUCAGAGUUCACACUGCUCCUGCACGGUGGGAAGGGUAGGCCCGUUCUGGCCCACCUGUCCAUUGCUAAGUGGCCAGAUCUGUCAGAUUCUGAGUUUGAGUACUGGGUUCAGUACAGUUCAGUACAAUUCAGUUAAUUUCAGUCACUCAGUCUUGUCCGACUCUUUGCGACUCCAUGGACUGCAGCACGCCAGGCCUCCCUGACCAUCACCAACUCCCAGAGC
ensembl:lncRNA